AAAAUUAUUUAUUGAUAACCAACGAUCCUUUAAGUUUAAAACUGAUAAAGUGAGUUACUCAUAUACAUAUUUUUAACCCACUUACACACCUAUGGCGACCCGGCACUGGAAAGCGCAGUCUUUAUCGACCCCCCACUAGGUGUACUGAGGAUAUCAAGCGGGUUGAAGGCAGCUGCUGGAUGCUGGCGGCUUGAGAGCGUUGUGGUUGGAGGUCCAUGCAAGAGGCCAUGUCCAGCUGUGGACGUCUAACUGAUAAGAGAAUCUGAGAAAACCUUGGAAUACACUAAGACCACCUGGAACUAUCACAAUUGAUGAUAUUAGAGCUGUUGAUAGCACCUUUAUAGCUGCUAGAAAGAAGAAGAAAAAAAAACAGAAGCUGAAGCAUCUGGAUACAAUAUUUCACAUGCACGGGGACCAAAUAUAUCCAAUAACACUCACAGAUAAUGUAGCGCAACAGUGUUCAAAAUCUAGCCAAGCAAGAUACCUAGAAUACAACAAAAUAGGAAAUUCGUUAAAGGACUCCUUUUGAUAAUAUAAUAAUCUCUGAACAACAGAACGAACGGCACAAUGUCAUAUGACAGAUUGCCGAGUAACAGAAAUAGAGAUGAGAAAAAAAACUUUGUAAAAAAAAAGGCUUUUAUUUGUAAAAGAAUUUUCAAAAACAGUUUAAUAGAUUCAGAGAUUAUCUUUUAUUUGUUUCAUUAUCUCCUACAACUUUACAAACUUCACCUCUAUGAUAUUAGCUUAAAUAACACUGACAGUGGUGACAUCCUGAAUCCAAUCUGUUACUGAAAAUUUGUUGGAGAUAAAUUGAAAAUUUUAAAAACCCUCCAAGGUCAUGAAAUUAUUAAUUACAUUCUCCAUCAAGUCAUCAAUAUUCUCUUUCAGUGCGCUUUCAUUUGAGACCCCACUCGAGUAUAUUUACAGACAUUCAGUUAUUCUUCUCCACUUUUCCACAACUUUUAAAUGGCUCAACCGAUUUUCAUCAAACACCUCUAAGAACACUCGCACAUCAUAAUAAUAAUAAUAAUAAUAAUAAGCUUUAUUUUUCCCAUUUAGAUAGUACUUAACAAUAUCUUAAAACUAUUCUAACUAAUCUAUAUAUUAAUUUAUUAUCUAAAUAAUUAAUUUAUGUACUAGUUAAUAAAAAAGUAAAGUACUGGACCAUGCACAAAGACUUAAGUGGAGAUGGGCAGGCCACCUUGGCAGGCUAAAGGACAAACGGUGGACUAAGAAAAUUACCUACUGGAAAGGUCCACUUGGUAAAAGGAAGGUAGGAAGGCCUAUAGGAAGGUGGGUAGAUGACAUUACCGCAGUGGCUGGCCAAGGUUGGAUGGAACUCACAAAAGAAAGGGACAAUUGGAAAAAGAUGGAGGAGGCUUAUACCCGAAGGGGCCCAUUAUUAACUAGUACUCGCACAUCAAGUCACCUUUAAUUAAUACAAAACAAACUAAAUUGAAAUUGCUUCAUUUGUUCGCGAGCUAUGGUGCCACAAACAGACAUACAUGUCACACUUAUAACCGCCCUAUUACAAACUCAGGACUCAAACCCUCAUGAUCUUAAACAUUGUAACCACUGAUUCAAAGAGAUACGUCCUGACCUUCAUUUGUUUAUACAUUAAUACUGAAUUCCAUUUGCCUAACA